rnacentral:rRNA from 1 species
CGCAAGCCCGACGGGCAACGCCGCGUGAGGGAUGAAGGCCUCUGGGCUGUAAACCUCUUUUAUCAAGGAAGAAGAUCUGACAGUACUUGAUGAAUAAGCCACGGCUAAUUCCGUGCCAGCAGCCGCGGUAAUACGGGAGUGGCAAGCGUUAUCCGGAAUUAUUGGGCGUAAAAGCGUCCGCAGGCGGCUCUUCAAGUCUGUUGUUAAAAAGUGGAGCUUAACUCCAUCAUGGCAGUGGAAACUGUUGAGCUUGAGUGUGGUAGGGGCAGAGGGAAUUCCCGGUGUAGCGGUGAAAUGCGUAGAUAUCGGGAAGAACACCAGUGGCGAAGGCGCUUUGCUGGGCCAUUACUGACGCUCAUGGACGAAAGCCAGGGG